CGGGACCCGUCGGGCGUCCCGGCCUCGGGGAAGGUCCGCAGGACAAACAGGGAACCAGGCGAGGUUCCCUGAACUGGGCGAGGAGGGGCCUCCGGCAGCGAUGGCCCCGGCGCCCAGGCCUGUAAGUGUGCAGACAGCGGGCUCUCAGCAUCCUGCAAUUCUCCUCAAGGUGAGACCUUCCCAGCCCCCGGCCCCAGCCCACGUGCGGAUCCCUGGUUACCCCCAUGCUCCGGUGUUGCCCAGUGCAGGCCUGGAGCAGCCAGGGAGCCACAGGGACCUGAAACAACACGCGUCUGUGUGUGACUCAGCCGGGGCUUCCCCGCAGCCUCUGGGCGCAGGAAGUUUACCUGGGAGGGGAGGCUGGAGAGGAGCCAGGGGGGAGAGGCAGGGGGCUGCAGACCCCGGGAGACCUGUCCAGCCGCUGGACAGUAUGGGCAGCUCUGGGGCCAGGACGAGGAGUCUGAGUGCAGGCAGGAGCUCCUUCUGCAGCCCAGCAAAUCCUCCACUGGUCUGGGUGAUCAGAGGGGGUGCCUGCCCGCGGGGGCUCACAGUGGCGUCUGUCCAGACUGUGCCUGCAGCCACCUCAACAGCCUUCAGGUCAGAUGGGCCACCUCUUCUGAUUGAGGCAACAGGAGGGUGAGCUGAUAGGUCCUCACCCCACGCUUGGCAAAUGCCAAGGGCCCGUCCCUGCAAACAAAGAACCAAGGUCAGUGGGUCAGGGAGGGAGGAAGAGCCUCCCUGAAACUGCCCCAGCUCCGCCCCUGGAUAGUGGGGGGCCAGGUCCACAAAGCUCCCGCCCCCGAAAAGACAGAGGUAACCGGCUCCCGGGAAGCAAGCGGCUGCCUGCCUGCCGGGGGCACAGAGGAGCUGCUGCCGGCUUGGCCUGGCGGGUCCGCACCUGAUGGGUCAGUAAUCCGGAGGGUGAGCCCCCUUCGUCUGUUCCUCAGAGAACAGGGCCACCCUUUCUGGCUUCACGGUAGCAGGAAGGAGUUCUGGGCCAGGUCUGGAUUGACAGCAGCUGCCUGGGGGUUAGGUUGAAGGCAGAACACUGAUUUCAGGCCAGGUCCUCUCUGCCGAGGAGGCAGUAGAAUUUUCUGGAAGCUUCUGAAUGCCUUAGAAUCUCCUGAAUGCAGGUCCCAGGCCGGCUCUGCAGGCCGAAGAGUGCUGGGCACCCGGAGCUGGGACGCAGGUGGGCUGCCGUGGGGCACAGCCAGGGCAUUCUCUGCAGCAGCCGGCUGUUAGGGGGAAGCCGAACCAAAGGGGGGGGGUUCCUGGGCCCCGGGCCUGGGCCCUGCUCCUGGGUCCUCCCCAGGUGGGCUCUGGGGCCUCCGCUGAGCCCCCAGGUCAGGGUCAGGGCGUGGCAUCCUGUGCAAAGAGCUGGGGGGUCCUAACUGCGAGGCGCCCCCGCCCCUGCAUGGGCCCAGCCAGCUGGACACCAUCAGGCUCCCUGCCCGCGUCUCCCGAGCCCAGCUGCAGGUGCGCACGAGCAGACCCAGGUGGGCGAGAAGCCCAGCCUCGCUUGCUGCCUCUGAACCACCAGCCCUCACGUGGUGACGUGGCUCCGGGCGAAGCGUGGGAGGCGCCACGGGAAGCUGCCAGGAGAGGGGUCUUGCAGACUCCCGGCUGCCCGCAGCACACAG
rnacentral:lncRNA from 1 species